rnacentral:rRNA from 1 species
GAUGAACGCUGGCGGCGUGCCUAAUACAUGCAAGUCGAACGGCAGCGGGGGCUUCGGCCUGCCGGCGAGUGGCGAACGGGUGAGUAAUGCAUCGGAACGUGCCCAUGUCGUGGGGGAUAACGUAGCGAAAGCUACGCUAAUACCGCAUACGCCCUGAGGGGGAAAGCGGGGGAUGCUUCGGAACCUCGCGCGAUUGGAGCGGCCGAUGUCGGAUUAGCUAGUAGGUGGGGUAAAGGCCCAUCUAGGCGACGAUCCGUAGCGGGUCUGAGAGGAUGAUCCGCCACACUGGGACUGAGACACGGCCCAGACUCCUACGGGAGGCAGCAGUGGGGAAUUUUGGACAAUGGGCGCAAGCCCGAUCCAGCCAUGCCGCGUGAGUGAAGAAGGCCUUCGGGUUGUAAAGCUCUUUCGGCCGGGAAGAAAUCGUGUUCUCUACCAUAGGGCAUGGAUGACGGUACCGGACUAAGAAGCACCGGCUAACUACGUGCCAGCCGCCGCAGUAA